rnacentral:misc_RNA from 1 species
GAUGAAGAACGUAGCGAAAUGCGAUAAGUAAUGUGAAUUGCAGAAUUCAGUGAAUCAUCGAAUCUUUGAACGCACCUUGCACCCAUUGGCAUUCUGAAGGGUAUGCUCGUUUGAGUGUCAUUGUACUCUCACACUCCCGAUCUUUGCAUUGGGAGCAGUGGACUUGGGUUUGCUGCUUCACCGUCGCUUACCUCAAAUAGGUUAGUGCAACUCUUGGUUGGACAUAGUACGGCGUGAUAAGUGUUCUUCGCCGGUGCCUCGCAAAGAGGGUGGCCGAUCGGGAUGUUGUGCUCCAAACCGUCUUCGGACAAUCUCUGACGACUUGACCUCAAAUCGAGUAAGACUACCCGCUGAACUUAAGCAUAUCAAUAAGCGGAGGA